rnacentral:rRNA from 1 species
UACGAAGGGGCGUAGCGUUGUUCGGUAUUUACUUGGGCGGUAAAGACGCACGUAGGCGGAUCGUUAAGUCGGGGUGGAAAUACCUGGAGCUCAACUCCAGAACUGCCUUUGAUACUGAAGAUCUUGAGUUCGGGAGAGGUGAGUGGAACUGCGAGUGUAGAGGUGAAAUUCGUAGAUAUUCGCAAGAACACCAGUGGCGAAGGCGGCUCACUGGCCCGAUACUGACGCUGAGGCACGAAAGCGUGGGGAGC